rnacentral:misc_RNA from 1 species
AUCAUCAUUAUCAUCAUCACUUCAGCCAAUCACAGUCCACUGCUGGACAAAGGCCUCCAUAAGUUCGCGCCAAAAAUGGCGUGUUUGCCCAUAGUCACCACGCUGGGCAGGCGAGUUAGUGCCAUAUAUUUUCACUUAGAGGAAGUUUCAUAGGCACAUGAUGUCAAUAUCUUAAAUAAUAGAAGUGGUCGUCCAUUAAUCACUCCAUGUUUUUAGGAACUUUUUAACCUCUACCCCUUGGUGAUAUUUGGUAAGGUCUUAGACUAUAUAUCCAAAAAUCACUUGUAUUUAUUUUUGUACAAAUUAAUUUGAAAUUUUUGGUAAGGCUUUAGAUUAAGAAUCGUCGAAUUAUCUAAGCUCAAAAUUUGAAAAAAAAAAUAACCCUAACCUAUCUAACUCCAAAAUGCGGUUCUUAAUCUAAAGCCUAGCCAAAUUUUCAGAAUAUUGUCUUUAAAUACAGAUAUAAUUUGCUUAUUUUGUAAAUUAAGCGUCUUGAUAUAAAUUUAUAGACAGUCUGACGCCUGUCACUUGCAGGAUUUAGGUUCAAGAAAAAUAAAUGCGCGUGAUACCUCUAUAUAACCCCCCCGUCCUAGUGAUAUUUCGUUAUGCUUUUCCAAACCCCGCCUCCCCAUUUAUGGAACCACCCCUAAGCUUGUAAAAUUUCACUGUCACCAUUUAAACUUUCAUUUAUAAGGGACAUUUUGAGAUUCUCGAUACUUCGGUGACUUUGCAGACGCCACAGUCACUGAACGAUUAAUAACAGACUUAUCAGGAUAUCUGGAAAAAAUCGCUACUUAUAACAGCCUUUGUAAAUUACUAUCUGUAUAUUUAAAUGACUCUUUGAUGUGAAUUCUGUCAAAGUGGUGUGUACUAUAAUUUAUUGUAUUCAUUCUAAUUGUCAUAGUUUCGGAAAUCUCAAAUUAAUAAAUUCGAAAUGGAAAUUUCAUUACGCAAGACUGCAAAAGCACUUUUGAAUCGUCACUUAACAAAUUCAAUAAUAGAGUUAAGUGAAAAUAUCUUUAGCAAUAUAGAGCUUAUAGACACACAUUGAUAAGUAGAUUAUAUUUGUUUCCAAAAUGUCUAAAGAGCCUUAAAGCAUUUAUGUUCCAAAACUUAAAACUCCAAUGGCGCCAUCGGAGCUGUAACAUCUUCAUUUGUUUUUUACAGCUCUUUUGGAUAUAUUGCUAUUUUUGUAUUGUAAUAAAAUAUAUUUCGAAAUUUAAUAUUUGUAUUGUGAUAUUUUGUACCUAAAAAGUAUUUGUACUUAUUCAAUGUUAAUAAAUAUUUGUUAUAUACGAAAAAUAAAUGUUUUAUUUACUUAGCCGUUCGAUGUUUGAAACUGCCGAAAAAAUCUUAAUGGC